rnacentral:rRNA from 1 species
GACGUAGGAGGCGAGCGUUAUCCGGAUUUACUGGGCGUAAAGGGCGCGUAGGCGGCGUGACAAGUCACUUGUGAAAUCUCCGGGCUUAACCCGGAACUGCCAAGUGAUACUGUCGUGCUAGAGUGCGGAAGGGGCAAUCGGAAUUCUCGGUGUAGCGGUGUAAUGCGUAGAUAUCGAGAGGAACACCUGAGGUGAAGACGGGUUGCUGGGCCGACACUGACGCUGAGUGCGCGAAAGCCAGGGGAGCAAACGGG